rnacentral:rRNA from 1 species
UACGUAGGGGGCAAGCGUUGUCCGGAUUUAUUGGGCGUAAAGAGCGUGUAGGCGGCCAAGCAGGUCCGCUGUGAAAACUCGAGGCUCAACCUCGAGAUGUCGGCGGAAACCAUCUGGCUAAGCGGCGAAGAGGAGAGUGGAAUUCCUGGUGUAGCGGUGAAAUGCGCAGAUAUCAGGAAGAACACCUAUGGCGAAGGCAGCUCUCUGGGACGGUACUGACGCUGAGACGCGAAAGCGUGGGGAGCGAACAGG